rnacentral:rRNA from 1 species
ACGGGAGGCAGCAGUAGGGAAUCUUCGGCAAUGGACGAAAGUCUGACCGAGCAACGCCGCGUGAGUGAAGAAGGUUUUCGGAUCGUAAAACUCUGUUGUUAGAGAAGAACAAGGACGUUAGUAACUGAACGUCCCCUGACGGUAUCUAACCAGAAAGCCACGGCUAACUACGUGCCAGCAGCCGCGGUAAUACGUAGGUGGCAAGCGUUGUCCGGAUUUAUUGGGCGUAAAGCGAGCGCAGGCGGUUUCUUAAGUCUGAUGUGAAAGCCCCCGGCUCAACCGGGGAGGGUCAUUGGAAACUGGGAGACUUGAGUGCAGAAGAGGAGAGUGGAAUUCCAUGUGUAGCGGUGAAAUGCGUAGAUAUAUGGAGGAACACCAGUGGCGAAGGCGGCUCUCUGGUCUGUAACUGACGCUGAGGCUCGAAAGCGUGGGGAGCAAACAGGAUUAGAUACCCUGGUA